AAUGAUAGGACGAAAACUCAUUGGUUGGCUUGGGACAAAUUGACUAGGCCUAAAGGCGAGGGAGGUAUGGAUUUUCAUGAUCUUAGAUUAUUUAAUCAAGCUCUUCUGGCUAAGCAGGCUUGCAGAUUGGUGGUUAACCCUGAAUCCUUAGGCGCAAAGGUGGUGAAGGAGAAAUAUUAUCUCCAGGGGCAUAUCCUUAACAUUGUUUUUCCACGAUCGGCUUGGCUCCCUUGGCAAGGUGUUCUGCAUGGUCUGGACCUGCUUAAAUCUGGUGUUAUUUGGAGAAUAUGUGAUGGGUCUAAUAUUAAUAUUCGGAGAGAUUCUCAAGAAUAUCUGGCAGUUCAGUUUGUAUCAAAUGAUGAUGUUUACUAUUAUAGUUUGUAUUAA
rnacentral:rRNA from 1 species